rnacentral:misc_RNA from 1 species
GAAUUUGAAAGAUUGGCUUGGGGACAGGGAAGGAAAGAGAAAAUCGCUUGUCAACUUAUUAGAAAAGCGAAUCCUAGGAGGAGUAGCUACUUCGCUUGUGAAGAUGUCAAGAGAAACCAUAUGAAUAUGUUGGGCAAGUACUCCACAAAAUAUGAAAAUCUGCUACCUGCAGGUUCCCAGCAAAUUAUUGAUGCCAAUUUAUGAUCCAAUCGGAUGCCAAGACUAC